AUAAGCUAUGUUUGGCGGAGCAUCCUUCAGGGAGUAGAGGUCAUUAAGGAGGGGAUGGUGUGGCGAGUUGGUAAUGGCGACAAUAUUAGGAUCUGGCAGGACCCAUGGCUUCCUUCUGGUGCGGUCAGGUACCCAAGAACGAGGAGGGGAAGCACCCUGCUGACUAGGGUUGCGGAGUUGAUUGAUCCAUACACUAACUCUUGGGAUACUCAGCUGGUUAGGCAAAUUUUCUGUCAGGAGGAUGCAAAUGUGAUCUUGUCGAUUCCCAUCUUUGAACAUCAUGAGGACUUCGUGGCAUGGCAGUUUGACAGGAAGGGGUUAUUCUCUGUCUGCUCAGCAUAUAGGAUUCAUGUCGACCUUCUUCGGCGCCAAUGCCAGAGGCAAACUGGUGAAUGCUCGUCAGGGCGGGAGGAGGAAAAGAAAAUGUGGCGGCACCUCUGGCAAGUGAAUUGCCCCGGGAAGGUACAUCACUUCAUGUGGAGAUUGGCACACAAUAGUCACCCUUUGCUGCGAAACGUGGAGCACAUUGGAGUUGAACUGGACACAAGUUGCGUGGUGUGCCAUCGUCUGCCGGAGGACGGAGGGCACUUGUUUCUGCGCUGCAAAGAGGUAAAGAAAAUCUGGAGUGCUUGUGGUCUGGAGGGUGUUCGUCAAAGCCUGCUUGAAUGCCAAACAUCUCGCCGGCUGCUAGAGGAGCUCUUUCGUAUACCCGAGGAUGUAAAACUAAGAGCAAUUUGCCUCAUGUGGUUGUGGUGGACAGAGAGGAACAAAGCGAAUCAUAACCAAAGCAGAGCAUCAGCGGAGGAGUUUCAGUCUUCUGUUACCAGACAUGUCACUGAAUGGCGGGAAUACAAUGCAAAACCUGUACAGCCAAGAGUGCAGAGGAUUCAGAAAUGGGUCAAGCCAGCUCUGGAUGUGGUUAAAAUCAACAUUGAUGCAGCUUUUAGGGGCCUGUCACAACCUGGUGGCUGGGGGUGCAUUGCUCGGGACCAUGCUGGAGACGUCCUCUUCGCGGCCGCCGGCGUGUUGGAAAACGUGUCCGAUGCUCUUCAUGCUGAAGCUUCUGCCCUGCUGCAUGCGGUCCGGUUUGCUGAAGACCAUGUCAUGGGUCGUGUUGUUUUUGAGACUGAUUGCUUGGCUCCUGUGCAGGCCAUCAAUUCUGGAACUCUUGAUCGAUCCCCACUGGGUGCCAUCUUUCACGAGCUCAAAUACCUGCUCCAGUUCAGUUUUAUUAAGUGGAAUGUCUACCACUGUCCACGCGCUUGUAAUGCCCCAGCCCAUGAACUGGCUGCUUUAGGCUGUAGUGGUGCCUAUGGGAACCAAUUUGUUUGGCUUUUCAAAUCUCCCUGA
rnacentral:rRNA from 1 species